AAUGACUGUUAUGUGCCCAGCAAAGCACAGCAGAUGCUCAAUACAUAGGUAGCAUGCUAUUUUUACACUCAUUUUAUAGAUGGGAACAUCAAGGCUCAGAAUGGUGAAGUGACUUGCCCAAGGCUUCACGGCUAAAGAAUGGCUGAGCUUGAAAGAUGAUCCCAGGAGCCCUGCCUCCCAGGACAGCAUUCACCCGGUCGGUCGGUGGACGAUGCUGCCUCUCAGGAUGCAGGGCCCUGUGACCCGUCCCUCCACGACCCUCCCUGGUUCCUUACCUGCUCCCUCAGCGCCUCCUCCACCUCCUCCUGCUCCUUUGCCUAGCACGGCCCUGCAGCAUGUGCUCUGGGCUCUGACUUCUCCCGGCCUGGUUUCCAGGCAGUUGUGGGCGUGCCUCAUUUGCAUGGUCUUCAGGAAGCUCUCGGCCAGCUCUCCAUCUCAGGUUUUUCUCUCCUUCCCUCCGCUGCCUUUGGACUGUCUGAGCCUACCAGGGACAGCCUGGAAGCUUUGGUUUCAUCUUCCUCCUGUGAGUCACUCUUGCCUUCUCUCUGAGGGGGUCGAAGUCCACUCAUCUUUGCAGGCCUCUGUUCUGCACCAGAUAAGGAAUCAGAAGCUCAAAGCAAGUAAGGGGUUUAUUUGCCCAAGAGCUCAUGAGAAGCAAGUUAAAGAGCUGGGACUGCAAGAGACAGAGGGAUGCCUCAAGGCAUGACCUGGUGGCCUGGAAUUCCCUCUCAGCCCUAGAACGCCGUGCUUUCCAGUAUCACUUCUGGUUAACUAAGGCAGAGGGUUCCCGGCUGAGGACACAGGACAGCAGGCCUCCUGCCCAUGCCACCUGGUGUGUUUAGAAACACAGAACUGCAAUUGGACGGUUCUUCCUCCAGCUGGGCUGUGAAUGAAGCAUCUUAUCUUCCAGUCCCCCAGACUUGCCGCCACAUCAGGGCGGCAGUAAUUGCCCCCUGAAGGUCCUUGGAGUGAGUUGGGCCAGGCACAGCCAGGUAAGUCCUGACACUUACUCUGAAGCCUUUCUCCACGUGACCCCUGGCAGGAACACAGUGGCAAAAAGUUGCAAGAGGCCGUUUGUACAAGGAAGGGCCAGGGCAGUUUCCAGGAAGGUCUCAAAGGCCUUCUCCAAAUGCCCGGAGAGAAGGCUCCUGGGCCAAAGUCCAUCUCUGCUCUUGGAAUGCUCAGCUUGCAGUACCGGCAAAGGGAUCCUUUCACGGGGCUUUUAGUCGAAAUCAGGAAGCCGGGCCCCUCCCUCCUCGCUGGGUUCCCGGGGCCUCAUGGUUUGCACUCUUCUCUAUGGCACUUUCUCAUUUGUGCUCGUCUCUACAUCUGUCUAGUUUCCCUUCUCUCAUGGGAGUUUAACUUUUAUUGUAGUACAUGUCCAAUAUGGAAAAAUUAGGCAACUCAGAUGAAUAUAACACUGACACUUAGGAACAAUGCUAGGCACUAUUCGAGGGGCUCUACCUGAAUCGUAUGACAUCCCUGAUGACAACUCUGUGAGUAGGUGCUACCAUCAUACCAUCUCCAUUUCACAGAUGACGGCACUGAGACACAGAUUAAGUCUCUUGCCCAAGGUCGUGAGGCUAAGAAGCGGCAGACUGGGAUUUGAACCAGGCAUGGUGGUGCUGGAGUCCACGCUCUAAACCCAGGCCACACUGCCACCUAUAAGGAGAAAAUAAACUCACCCAAAAUCCUACAUGCAGAGAUGACCACUGAAAAAAUAAAGCUCAGGAUCCAAACAAUGUGAAGGGUCUAACAUAAAGCCCUCUCCACAAUAAAUAAGACUGUAAAAAUAACAUCUUCUGGAUGAGAGGCAACUCAAAGUGGUUUUUGUAAUUGUAUUAUUAUAUUCUUAUUAUCACAUGGUUCAGACAAAUGGGUCAUAGAAUCUUCAGUAUGAAACUUGAAUUAUGGUUUCACAAUAAGAACUU